rnacentral:rRNA from 1 species
CCUACGGGAGGCAGCAGUGAGGAAUAUUGGGCAAUGGAGGAAACUCUGACCCAGCAAUGCCGCGUGAAUGAAGAAGGUCUUCGGAUUGUAAAGUUCUUUAGUCAGGGAAGAAGUCAAUGACGGUACCUGAAGAAUAAGCUCCGGCUAACUACGGGCCAGCAGCCGCGGUAAUACGGAAGGUCCGGGCGUUAUCCGGAUGUAUUGGGUUUAAAGGGAGCGUAGGCCGCAUGGCAAGCGUGCUGUGAAAUGUCCGGGCUCAACCCGGGCCUUGCAGCGCGAACUGGCGUGCUUGAGUACGCGGAAGGCAGGCGGAAUUCGUGGUGUAGCGGUGAAAGGCUUAGAUAUGACGAAGAACCCCGAUUGCGAAGGCAGCUUGCUGCAGCGGAACUGACGCCGAUGCUCGAAAGCGCGGGGAUCGAACAGGAUUAGAUACCCUAGUAGUC